rnacentral:rRNA from 1 species
GAUGAACGCUGGCGGCGUGCCUAAUACAUGCAAGUCGAGCGAAUGGAUUAAGAGCUUGCUCUUAUGAAGUUAGCGGCGGACGGGUGAGUAACACGUGGGUAACCUGCCCAUAAGACUGGGAUAACUCCGGGAAACCGGGGCUAAUACCGGAUAACAUUUUGAACCGCAUGGUUCGAAAUUGAAAGGCGGCUUCGGCUGUCACUUAUGGAUGGACCCGCGUCGCAUUAGCUAGUUGGUGAGGUAACGGCUCACCAAGGCAACGAUGCGUAGCCGACCUGAGAGGGUGAUCGGCCACACUGGAACUGAGGAACGGCCCAGACUCCUACGGGAGGCAGCAGUAGGGAAUCUUCCGCAAUGGACGAAAGUCUGACGGAGCAACGCCGCGUGAGUGAUGAAGGCUCUCGGGUCGUAAAACUCUGUUGUUAGGGAAGAACAAGUGCUAGUUGAAUAAGCUGGCACCUUGACGGUACCUAACCAGAAAGCCACGGCUAACUACGUGCCAGCAGCCGCCGUAA